rnacentral:lncRNA from 1 species
GGUUAAAGAUGGAGUCUAGGGAACAGUCGAGAGUCACGCAAAUGUUAGAGGUGCCCUUGGCCUCAUGAGUGGUCGGUAGAAGGCGGCUGCAAGGAGCCUUUGAAAUGGUGCCGAGUUCUUCCUCUGCCAGAAAGCCUUUCCUCCGCGCUGACUGUGUCAAAGGCUACUCCCAGAGCACUCCAAUCAUUGUUCAAUGGAAGACUUAAAAGAAGCCCUGUGACUCGGGCUCAAAUCUGAAUAAGAUAGUUUCGAAGGAGAAGGAAGAGAAGUUAGAUAAAGAUGAGAAUUCAGAGGCGGAGAAGUAAGAUGGUUCCAGCUUCCUACCCUUCCAGUUAAAAUAAACAAAAACGAGGGUCUUGAGUGUCUAUGAUUUUCAUAAGAUCUAUGGCGUUUCUUCUGCAGAUGAUCAACAGUUGCCUGCCUUGGACUUUGGAGUUCCCAAGAACUAGAAAAUCCAGGUCAGGAACUGUAUCUUUGCUCAGCCACCUGCAAACAGACUUGAGAACAAUGUAAACCACCCUCUGCAGGAUAUUGAUUCUGAUGGAGUAAAUGUUGAUUAAGCAGAAUGGUGUUUUUUUUUUUAACUGGAGGAAUUCCAGAUCUUUCCUUAGGCCUGUCUCUCCAGGGAAAUGAGCUCUAGCCUUAAAAAUCUACAGAAAACCUGAGUAAGAAUGAAGAUUUAUGAUGGGAGACGCUGGGCGGAAGACGGCUGGCUAUCUGGUGGGCUAUCUAGAAGCUCAUCUUUGUGUUAUUAGAGAAACACUCCCGCUCUUGACAGGAUAUGGUCUGCUUAUCACAUAAUCUUCUCAAGUUUCAUUCCCAUUCUGCUUACAA